AAUGAACGCUGGCGGCAGGCCUAACACAUGCAAGUCGAACGAGGUAGCAAUACCUAGUGGCGGACGGGUGAGUAACGCGUGGGAACGUGCCCUUUGGUUCGGAAUAGCCCGGGAAACUGGGAGUAAUACCGGAUAAGCUCGCAAGAGGAAAGAUUUAUCGCCAAAGGAUCGGCCCGCGUUGGAUUAGGUAGUUGGUGGGGUAAUGGCCUACCAAGCCGACGAUCCAUAGCUGGUUUGAGAGGAUGAUCAGCCACACUGGGACUGAGACACGGCCCAGACUCCUACGGGAGGCAGCAGUGGGGAAUCUUAGACAAUGGGGGAAACCCUGAUCUAGCCAUGCCGCGUGAUCGAUGAAGGCCUUAGGGUUGUAAAGAUCUUUCAGUUG
rnacentral:rRNA from 1 species